rnacentral:rRNA from 1 species
UACGUAGGUGGCAAGCGUUAUCCGGAUUUAUUGGGCGUAAAGGGAACGCAGGCGGUCUUUUAAGUCUGAUGUGAAAGCCUUCGGCUUAACCGGAGUAGUGCAUUGGAAACUGGGAGACUUGAGUGCAGAAGAGGAGAGUGGAACUCCGUGUGUAGCGGUGAAAUGCGUAGAUAUAUGGAAGAACACCAGUGGCGAAAGCGGCUCUCUGGUCUGUAACUGACGCUGAGGUUCGAAAGCGUGGGUAGCAAACAGG